rnacentral:rRNA from 1 species
AUUGAACGCUGGCGGCAGGCCUAACACAUGCAAGUCGGGCGAGCGGCGGCCGGGUGAGUAAUGUAUGGGGAUCUGCCUGAUGGAGGGGAAUAACUACUGGAAACGUUAGCUAAUACCGAAUACCAUCAGAUGAACCCAUAUGGGAUUAGCUGGUAGGUAAGGUAACGGCUUACCUAGGAGACGAUCCCUAUCUGGUCUGAGAGGAUGAUCAGCCACCUGGGGACUGAGACAAGGCCCAGACUACUACGUGAGGCAUCAGUGGGGAAUAGUGCACAAUGGGCGCAAGCCUGAUGCAGUCAUGCCGCGUGUAUGAAGAAGGCCUUCGGGUUGGAAAGUACUUUCAGUCGGGAGGCGUUACCGACAGAAGAAGCACCGGCUAACUCCGUGCCAGCAGCCGCGGUAAUUC